UUUAUCACUGGCUCACUGCUUCUCUUCUCUUCCCUCGUUUCUCCACACUCGUUAAUCAUCUGACCAUUGAAGAACCGUGUAAGACUAACGAGUUUAGGGUUUCGAUUUAGUUUCGAUCUGUGGUUCGUCGGAUUUGGAGUUUUGAAGAACUGAUCUUGAAUCUCAGCUUAGAAGGAAGAAGCAUCUGGGGUUGGGAGGAAUGAAUGCUUUGAUUUUGUAACCAUCUACAGAUUCUAUAUCCAGUCUAUGAUUUAGUCCUAAAGGAAAUUAUCUUGUUGCUACUUCAUGGUAUAAUCAGGUUAGAUGUUGGGAAAUACAAAGAUCAAGAACCAAUACGGGAAGUGUUGCAGAAGCAGCAAUAGCUGAUGACCAACUGGUAGAAGUUGGUGGAUUUAUUUAACUUUUAUGUGAAUGCAUAAAGUUUCAGCCACUGUUGCUGAGUUUAAAGGUUGAGAUAUUUUUGGUGUGGUACGCGUGGCCCAAGUGAGCAUGGAAUUAGCAAGAUUUGAAGCAAACUUUAGUGGAUUGUCACCUCGAAAACAUGGAUGGACUAUAAUGAGUAUGGGGAUUUGACUAGAAAAGUGGCAAGUACUGGGGAAGUGUUCAAUUCAAUCCAAUAAAAACACCAUGACAGAACUCAGUGGAGCAAGGCUGAUCAAACACAGGCAAGAUGUACAGAAUGAAUUUCAUGAGGAGAUACAGCAUCCAUUAACUCUGCAUCAGAUUCAUUGAUUCAGGUAGAAGGCAAACCUCAAGCAUCACACUCCCUAUCCCUGUUAAACCACGGUAUGAUGUCACCUUCCCAUCAAAUUUAUUAGCAAAUCCACAACGUGCAGCCGUCACUCCCAGCCCAAAAUCACAACCAUAAAUUUCAAAUCUAGGUGAAUUUCCCAUCAGUACGGUAGCAUUAUCUAACAAAGGCCCCAUCUUAAGUAUAUAUGGUUGGGUUUGGAUGAGAAGGUGCGGGUUUCUGAAAGAGAAGACCAUCUUUGAGAAAAGUGGUUUCAAAUAGCGGCAGAUCUUUUAAUGUAAAUUGAAAAGUGGCAGAUCCCAUGGAGUCAAAUAGCGUGGUUUCUUUGACUCUUCUAAAACUUGGUGGUUACACCUUGCCAGCAUACAGGUGGUACAAAGGAACACCCUGAGGAGUAUAUUUACUUGGAGAAUGGUAGCAGCCUUAAAGAAGUAUUGGGUUUGUUGAAGGAUAUUCCCUUGGAGAAGCUGAAGGCAACAAUUCAAAGUGCAAUUUCCACUGCACACGUGAAAAACACAAGUACCUGUAUGUAUUGUAAAGGUUUGUGCAAGUAUGCAAUAAAUGCCUGGAAGCCAGGAGAUCUUGUGCAAGCCCAGCUGGUAAAACUGGUGAUGAGAGGUAUGAUACUGCUCGGAUAUUGAAAUGUGUACUCUUUAGUUGUGUCCCUUCUCUAUCACGGAACUGGAAUCAGAUUUUGUUUGUAUUGGUAUUUAACCCCUGUUUUUACUUAAAGUGAUUGUUUUUUUUUCCUUUCAUGUAUGGCUUAGAAAUGUAGUUUUCUUUUGUUGAUAA